GCAAGCGUUGUUCGGAAUUACUGGGCGUAAAGGGCGCGUAGGCGGCCUUCUAAGUCCGACGUGAAAUCCCCCGGCUUAACCUGGGAACUGCGUCUGAUACUGGGAGGCUUGAGUAUGGGAGAGGGAUGUAGAAUUCCAGGUGUAGCGGUGAAAUGCGUAGAUAUCUGGAGGAAUACCGGUGGCGAAGGCGGCAUCCUGGACCAUAACUGACGCUGAGGCGCGAAAGCUAGGGGAGCAAACGGG
rnacentral:rRNA from 1 species